UACGGAGGAUCCAAGCGUUAUCCGGAUUUAUUGGGUUUAAAGGGUGCGUAGGCGGCCCUGUAAGUCAGUGGUGAAAGCCUCCAGCUCAACUGGAGAACUGCCAUUGAUACUGCAGGGCUUGAGUACAGACGAGGUUGGCGGAAUUGAUAGUGUAGCGGUGAAAUGCAUAGAUACUAUCAAGAACUCCGAUUGCGUAGGCAGCUAACUAGGCUGUAACUGACGCUGAGGCACGAAAGCGUGGGGAGCGAACAGG
rnacentral:rRNA from 1 species